GACGAACGCUGGCGGCGUGCCUAAUACAUGCAAGUAGAACGCUGAAGGAGGAGUUUGCUUCUCUGGAUGAGUUGCGAACGGGUGAGUAACGCGUAGGUAACCUGCCUGGUAGCGGGGGAUAACUAUUGGAAACGAUAGCUAAUACCGCAUAAUAGUAGAUGUUGCAUGACAUUUGCUUAAAAGGUGCAAUUGCAUCACUACCAGAUGGACCUGCGUUGUAUUAGCUAGUUGGUGAGGUAACGGCUCACCAAGGCAACGAUACAUAGCCGACCUGAGAGGGUGAUCGGCCACACUGGGACUGAGACACGGCCCAGACUCCUACGGGAGGCAGCAGUAGGGAAUCUUCGGCAAUGGACGGAAGUCUGACCGAGCAACGCCGCGUGAGUGAAGAAGGUUUUCGGAUCGUAAAGCUCUGUUGUAAGAGAAGAACGAGUGUGAGAGUGGAAAGUUCACACUGUGACGGUAUCUUACCAGAAAGGGACGGCUAACUACGUG
rnacentral:rRNA from 1 species